rnacentral:lncRNA from 1 species
UGUCAUACACAAGAGAACGUUCCCCUCUAACUCGUUGUAGGAACGCACGACAGAGAUGACAAGCGCCCUCUCCGUCUCAAGUUCCUUGAGAAGGUUGCGCUCCUUGGCUUGGGCACUCUUGAGGCUCCUCUCCUUGGCGGUCACUCUCACUAGAAAAUUGGAGCUGGUAGUCGCAGCGGCCUCCAGGCCUUUGGUCUUGCCCGCAAGGGCAGCCUGCAAGUCCGCCAAGGCUUGGGUAUCCUUUUGGGUGCUCUCU